GAUGAACGCUGGCGGCGUGCCUAAUACAUGCAAGUCGAGCGAACGGACGAGAAGCUUGCUUUUCUGAUGUUAGCGGCGGACGGGUGAGUAACACGUGGAUAACCUACCUAUAAGACUGGGAUAACUUCGGGAAACCGGAGCUAAUACCGGAUAAUAUUUUGAACCGCAUGGUUCAAAAGUGAAAGACGGUCUUGCUGUCACUUAUAGAUGGAUCCGCGCUGCAUUAGCUAGUUGGUAAGGUAACGGCUUACCAAGGCAACGAUGCAUAGCCGACCUGAGAGGGUGAUCGGCCACACUGGAACUGAGACACGGUCCAGACUCCUACGGGAGGCAGCAGUAGGGAAUCUUGCGCAAUGGGCGAAAGCCUGACGGAGCAACGCCGCGUGAGUGAUGAAGGUCUUCGGAUCGUAAAACUCUGUUAUUAGGGAAGAACAUAUGUGUAAGUAACUGUGGACAUCUUGACGGUACCUAAUCAGAAAGCCACGGCUAACUACGUG
rnacentral:rRNA from 1 species